rnacentral:rRNA from 1 species
AGCGAACGCUGGCGGCAGGCUUAACACAUGCAAGUCGAGCGCCCCGCAAGGGGAGCGGCAGACGGGAGAGUAACACGUGGGAACGUACCCUUCAGUACGGAACAACCAAGGGAAACUUUGGCUAAUACCGUAUACGUCCGUAAGGAGAAAGAUUUAUCGCUGAAUGAUCGGCCCGCGUCUGAUUAGCUAGUUGGUGAGGUAACGGCUCACCAAGGCGACGAUCAGUAGCUGGUCUGAGAGGAUGAUCAGCCUCACUGGGACUGGGACACGGCCAAGACGCCAACGGGGGGCAUCAGUGGAAAUUAUUGGCGAAUGGGAGCAAGCUUGAUCCAGUCAUGCCGCGUGGAUGAUGAAGGUCCUAGGGUUGUAAAUUCCUUUUAACGGGUAAGAUACUGACGGUACCCGUAGAAUAAGCCCCGGCUAAGUGCGUGCCAGCAGCCGCCGUAAUAC